rnacentral:rRNA from 1 species
UACGUAGGCGGAAAAUUAAGUCAGUAGUGAAAUCCCGCAGCUUAACUGUGGAACUGUUAUUGAUACUGGUUUUCUUGAAUAUAGUUGAGGUAGGCGGAUUGUGUAAUGUAGCGGUGAAAUGCUUAGAUAUUACACAGAACACCGAUUGCGAAGGCAGCUUACUAAGCUAUGAUUGACGCUGAGGUACGAAAGCGUGGGGAGCGAACAGGAUUAGAUACCCUGGUAGUCC